rnacentral:rRNA from 1 species
UACACUCCUGCGGGAGGCAGCAGUGGGGAAUUUUGGACAAUGGGCGAAAGCCUGAUCCAGCAAUGCCGCGUGUGUGAAGAAGGCCUUCGGGUUGUAAAGCACUUUUGUCCGGAAAGAAAUCCUUGGCUCUAAUACAGUCGGGGGAUGACGGUACCGGAAGAAUAAGCACCGGCUAACUACGUGCCAGCAGCCGCGGUAAUACGUAGGGUGCGAGCGUUAAUCGGAAUUACUGGGCGUAAAGCGUGCGCAGGCGGUUUGCUAAGACCGAUGUGAAAUCCCCGGGCUCAACCUGGGAACUGCAUUGGUGACUGGCAGGCUAGAGUAUGGCAGAGGGGGGUAGAAUUCCACGUGUAGCAGUGAAAUGCGUAGAGAUGUGGAGGAAUACCGAUGGCGAAGGCAGCCCCCUGGGCCAAUACUGACGCUCAUGCACGAAAGCGUGGGGAGCAAACAGGAUUAGAUACCCUUGUAGUCCCAUG